UGGGGAAUUUUGGACAAUGGGGGAAACCCUGAUCCAGCCAUCCCGCGUGUGCGAUGAAGGCCUUCGGGUUGUAAAGCACUUUUGGCAGGAAAGAAACGUCAUGGGUUAAUACCCCGUGAAACUGACGGUACCUGCAGAAUAAGCACCGGCUAACUACGUGCCAGCAGCCGCGGUAAUACGUAGGGUGUAAGCGUUAAUCGGAAUUACUGGGCGUAAAGCGUGCGCAGGCGGUUCGGAAAGAAAGAUGUGAAAUCCCAGAGCUCAACUUUGGAACUGCAUUUUUAACUACCGGGCUAGAGUGUGUCAGAGGGAGGUGGAAUUCCGCGUGUAGCAGUGAAAUGCGUAGAUAUGCGGAGGAACACCGAUGGCGAAGGCAGCCUCCUGGGAUAACACUGACGCUCAUGCACGAAAGCGUGGGGAGCAAACAGG
rnacentral:rRNA from 1 species